CUUGGCCGCCUCCGGGGAAUAGGGCUCCAGGGUUCCGCAGGCCGUCGCGUAGCGAGCAAUCCGAGAGCCAGGGAGCGGAGCGGGGUGCAGGGUACGUCUGGGAAUCCUGGAAUCUGGAAUGACAGCAUGAUGAGGAGCUCUCUGGAUCUUUGGAACCAUCGAGGUUAUGAGCUACACUCCCUUCACCAGUUGCCAAGCUCCCUGACAAGAGAGUACAUUAAGGACCUCCUCUUCACCAUGUGACUGGAGCAUUACUAGAACUUCAUUCUUGGAGGGAAGGUGCCAAGUUUGCUUUCACACCCCCUCGAACCACUCCCAGGCAGAAUAAAAAGCAACUCUCAUGAGAACCUGAGAAGGAAGUUCGAGAACAUUGUUCCUGAGCUCUAAUGUCCUGGAUGGAGAAGAGAAUGUUUUGAAAUCUCUAGGAUUCAUGAUCUUGUAAUCUAUUCUUCUAGCCUGAGAAGGGGAGAUCUCUUGGGCAAUAUCAGCUUUCCAAAGUGCUUCAUGGGAAAACCCAAGUGCAAGAUGUCUUGAGUGUGAGAAGUCCAGCCUUGGCCUUCUGGAAAGAGAUCGAUUUCAACUGGAAUGCCAACAUGCCUCUGCCACUGAAGUCCUUGGUUGGGGAGAUCCAAGGAGAUCUGGACCUUGCCAUAUUUCCUUGUUAUUGCUGUUAAGGCUUUGCUAAUAAAUGUCUAA